GACGAACGCUGGCGGCGUGCUUAACACAUGCAAGUCGAACGGAAAGAUCCUGCUUUUGUGGGGUGCUCGUGUGGCGCACGGGUGAGUAACACGUGUGUAUCCUGUCCUUGUCUUUGUGAUAACUUCAUGAAACUGGGGCUAAUACCGGAUAUGAGCUCCUGCUGCAUGGUGGGGGUUGGUUAGUUUCGGCGGUUGGGGAUAGACUCGCGGCUUACCAGCUUGUUUGUUAGGUAGUGGCGUACCAAGCGAUCGACGGGUAGCCGGCCUGGGAGGGGGACCGGCGACAUUAGGACUGAGAUAGGGCGCAGACGGGUACCGGAGGCAAAGGUGGAGAAUAUGGCGCAGCGGGCGGAAGCCAGAGGUGACGGCGCCGCGUGCGGGAUGACGGCUUUCGGGUUGUGAACCGAUGUGGACUGUGACGAAGCGUUAGUGACGGUAAUGAGUAAAGAAGCACCGGCUAACUACGUG
rnacentral:rRNA from 1 species